AAAAAUAAUAAAAAAAAUGUGAAAAAUCUAUAAAUUUGAAAAUUUCUAAAGGUUCAUUUUUGCACAAAGUUUUGCCUAUAACUCAGUCGGUAUCCAACGGAUCGCCAAUCUUUAACCUGUGGUCGAUACAUGGCACCAAUGGCUACAUUUUCUUCUUGGACGGCCAUGCCCUCAGAUAUCUGCGCCAGAAGUUAUUCGAGGAAUCAAGUUCCGUACCCUGUUUGAGAAAAUGUAAAAUUUUCCUCAUUUUUCACCAAUGUAGCAAAAUUUAUAAAUGUGAUAUAUUUUAAUGCGAAUUUGUUGCGUUAAGUUUCUUUUCACUCAAAUAAUGCUUUAAAAUAAAAAAAGAAUAAAAAAUAAGAAAAAAAAUUUCAAAAAAUUUUCAACUCGAAAAUUUCAUAAGGGGUACCCCUUGCCAUUUCUUUGAGAAAUUUUGCAAAAAAAUUUAAAUUGAUUUAUUUUAAUGCCAAUUGGUUGCAAUGAGUUUCUUUUCACUCAAAUAAUGCUUCAAACAAAAAAAGAGUAAAAAAUAAUAAAAAAAUGUGAAAAAUCUAUAAAUUUGAAAAUUUCUAAAGGUUCAUUUUUGCACCAAGUUUUGCCUAUAACUCGGUCGGUAUCCAACGGAUCGCCAAUCUUUAACCUGUGGUCGGUAGAUGGCAUCAAUGGCUACAUUUUCUUCUUGGACGGCCAUGCCCUCAGAUAUCUGCGCCAGAAGUUAUUCGAGGAACCAAGUUCCGUACCCUGUUUGAGAAAAUGUAAAAUUUUCCUCAUUUUUCACCAAUGUAGCAAAAUUUAUAAAUGUGAUAUAUUUUAAUGCGAAUUUGUUGCAUUAAGUUUCUUUUCACUCAAAUAAUGCUUUAAAAUAAAAAAAGAAUAAAAAAUGAGAAAAAAAAUUUCAAAAAAUUUUCAACUCGAAAAUUUCAUAAGGGGUACCCCUUGCCAUUUUUUUGAGAAAUUUUGCAAAAAAAUUUAAAUUGAUUUAUUUUAAUGCCAAUUGGUUGCAAUGAGUUUCUUUUCACUCAAAUAAUGCUUCAAACAAAAAAAAGAGUAAAAAAUAAUAAAAAAAUGUGAAAAAUCUAUAAAUUUGAAAAUUUCUAAAGGUUCAUUUUUGCACAAACUUUUGCCUAUAACUCGGUCGGUAUCCAACGGAUCGCCAAUCUUUAACCUGUGGUCGGUAGAUGGCACCAAUGGCUACAUUUUCUUCUUGGACGGCCAUGCCCUCAGAUAUCUGCGCCAGAAGUUAUUCGAGGAAUCAAGUUCCAUACCCUGUUUGUGAAAAUGUAAAUUUUCCUCAUUUUUGCACCAAGUUUUGCCUAUAACUCGGUCGGUAUCCAACGGAUCGCCAAUCUUUAACCUGUGGUCGAUACAUGGCACCAAUGGCUACAUUUUCUUCUUGGACGGCCAUGCCCUCAGAUAUCUGUGCCAGAAGUUAUUCGAGGAACCAAGUUCCAUACCCUGUUAUAGAAAAUGUAAAUUUUCCUCAUUUUUGCACCAAGUUUUGCCUAUAACUCGGUCGGUAUCCAACGGAUCGCCAAUCUUUAACCUGUGGUCGGUAGAUGGCAUCAAUGGCUACAUUUUCUUCUUGGGCGGCCAUGCCCUCAGAUAUCUGCGCCAGAAGUUAUUCGAGGAAUCAAGUUCCAUACCCUGUUUGAGAAAAUGUAAAAUUUUCCUCAUUUUUCACCAAUGUAGCAAAAUCCAUAAAUAUGAUAUAUAUGUUUGCAAAUUUG